ACGGAACAGGCAAGCGUUGUUCGGAAUCACUGGGCUUAAAGCGCGUGUAGGCGGCCUGGUAAGUACCUUGUGAAAUCCCCCGUCUCAACCGGGGCACUGCUUGGUAUACUGCCGGGCUCGAGGUGGGUAGGGGUGCCUGGAACUCUAGGUGGAGCGGUGAAAUGCGUAGAUAUCUAGAGGAACGCCAGUGGCGAAAGCGGGGCACUGGGCCUUACCUGACGCUGAGGCGCGAAAGCGUGGGUAGCAAACGG
rnacentral:rRNA from 1 species